rnacentral:rRNA from 1 species
AGUGAACGCUGGCGGUAGGCCUAACACAUGCAAGUCGAACGGCAGCACAGUAAGAGCUUGCUCUUACGGGUGGCGAGUGGCGGACGGGUGAGGAAUACACAGGAAUCUACUUUUUCGUGGGGGAUAACGUAGGGAAACUUACGCUAAUACCGCAUACGACCUACGGGUGAAAGCAGGGGAUCUUCGGACCUUGCGCGAUUGAAUGAGCCGAUGUCGGAUUAGCUAGUUGGCGGGGUAAAGGCCCACCAAGGCGACGAUCCGUAGCUGGUCUGAGAGGAUGAUCAGCCACACUGGAACUGAGACACGGUCCAGACUCCUACGGGAGGCAGCAGUGGGGAAUAUUGGACAAUGGGCGCAAGCCUGAUCCAGCCAUACCGCGUGGGUGAAGAAGGCCUUCGGGUUGUAAAGCCCUUUUGUUGGGAAAGAAAAGCAGCAGGUUAAUACCCCGCUGUUCUGACGGUACCCAAAGAAUAAGCACCGGCUAACUUCGUG